GGGAUGUUAGCUCAGGGGUAGAGCGUCCGCCUCACACGCGGAAGGUCGCAGGUUCGAAACCCGCACGUCCCA
rnacentral:tRNA from 1 species